UACGAGAGGCCCAAACGUUAUUCGGAAUUACUGGGCUUACAGAGUUCGUAGGCGGCGCAGAAAGUAGGGUGUGAAAGCCCUCGGCUCAACCGAGGAAUUGCGCUCUAAACUACUGUGCUUGAGGAAUCUAGAGGUGAGCGGAACUGAUGGUGGAGCGGUGAAAUGCGUUGAUAUCAUCAGGAACACCGGAGGCGAAGGCGGCUCACUGGGGAUUUUCUGACGCUGAGGAACGAAAGCCAGGGGAGCGAACGGG
rnacentral:rRNA from 1 species